rnacentral:sRNA from 1 species
UCACCGGUAGUCACUUCCGACAAAACAAU